rnacentral:lncRNA from 1 species
CAAACAUGAACAAAGAGACAGACAAUGCUGUUCUCCCAAAAGUCAAAUGAGUAAAAACCCAAAUUUUAGGAGAAACCACAAAUUAAGAAAAAUUUGCUGUUAUUGAGAACAAGGUUUUUUCAAACUCUAACCAACAAAACCUAACCAAUGUUAUAGAGUGGAGUGUUUUCAAAGACUAUAAAAAUCAUUGAACUUGAAUAAUGCUUGACAGAGAAAUGAUGCAACAGAAGGAAAAAGAUGAACCCUUGAAACGUCAGUGUGACAGCGAGAAAUGACAGUCUGUAGGAGAUCUGCUUUAAUUUUCUCAGGGUAGAUAUUUCUUAAAGAACUUCUGUGAGGUCCUGUUGACCUCAAGUUUUCCUCUCAGAGGAUUUUAAAAUCUUAGCUUUCCUGAUGUGCAAUUUGGGACUCAGAAGUCUUCCUUGUUCAAAAAUCAAGAAUUUCAAGAUGGCGACAACAGUGCUUUAAACAAGUGUGGGGCCCUUUUGCCUGCUCAGGUCACACACCUGUUGAAGCCAGCCUGGCUUCUGGAGCCUUCAGUGACAAAGGCCAUCAUAUGGACUAAAUAGGGUAUCUCUUUUUUUUGAGGAUCCCAAAGCACUGUGCAUUCACCACCACUCAUCAGCUUUUCCUUUCAACAUUCUUGGCACCCAUCCACCUCAAAAGCAAGCAUUGUCUUUAGGCUCUCACAGGUGGGUAAACUGAAAUACGCAGAGAUUAAGUAAUUUCCCCCAAGCUAGAUCCUUCAGUUACAGGUGGUGAAGCCCUGAAGUGGGUAUCACAAUUAAUUCCCAGUUACCACCAAAGCUGCCUGCAACCCUGUCCUUCUACUUAGUAAAGCCUGGCACUUACUAACAUCAUAUAAAUAAACGCUCUCAUUGCCAAGUCAGUUCUGCUGCAUCUUUGGCACCAGUUUUUAACUGGAAACCAUAUCAUCAUGUGAUGAUAAUAUCAAAGGAAAACCUGCAUACAGAGCUGUAUGACUUCCCUUUACGCGAGGGGAUACAUCAAUGACCCCGUGAAAUAUUCUUUGUUGUACCCUAGACUUGGCAUUAUCAUUGAUAGUAAGAAAAACCUCCUUUCCAGAAGCCAGGUACAAAAACUCUGCUUGUUUUAAUAGUGUGCCCUUACGUUUUUCUAAGAGGGUAUUUCCUUUAGAGAUACAGACAACGUCAAUUUUUUACAAGAUAGGCAUGGGAUCUGAAAAUAAAGUUCUGAAGCGUAGAGAAAUGUAACCUAAA